rnacentral:lncRNA from 1 species
AUGGGACUGAGUGUCCAGCGGUGGUGCUUUGCAUUGUUUGUGCCGUGGGUGACGGACAGGGCUCCACAGGACUCCCCCUGUUUACUGUCUGACAGUGGGGAGUCCCACAGUCGACAUUUGUCUGCCCCUCCUCCCUCACCUUCUCUGCCCUCCGGCCUCAUACAGUGCCCCCCGUUCGCCGGCCUGGGCACUGGCAGGUCCAAAUAUAGCACCAGAAGAGAAGAACGCGGCGUGAGUCUCUCCUCCACCACCCCCCCUCCACAAGCACCUGCAGCUCAGAGUUAUUGACAAGCGCUGCACAGGCCUGUCAAUCAGCCUCCAGCACCAGGGGAUUGAUUGGCUGAGAAAGACUGUCAUUUAACCAACUGCUCUGGGCAUGCACCCUUCACUAUGUGUGCAUCCAUGCGUGUGUGUACAGUGAUAUUUCCAUACAGCGCUUUUCAAAUGGCAGGAUGGUUGACUAGUUGUUCAACCAUAGACUUUUUUGUUUUUAGCUGUGUUUUAAAAAGUUGAUUUAAAAGACAGUUCCUGCAAAAAUAAACAUUGUGUCAUCAUUUGCUCACCCUAAUAUUGUUGCACGCCUGCAUGACUGCCUUUCUUCUUCUGAUCACAAAACAACAAUGUUGAACCCCAUUGACUUUCAUUGUAUGGACAAAAAAACACAUUUCUCAAAAUAUCUUCUUUUGUGUUCUACAGAAUAAACAAAGUUAAGCAGUUUUGGACAACACAGACAAAAAAAAACGUACAGUUCACUCUUAAGUGGCAGUGAAACACUAAGAGGACUUAUUAAUCUUCACACAAAUUAGGAUUACAGGAGUAGAUUAUUUGCACAGUUUCUUGCAUGAUACAAUGUGGUAAAAGUGUUUUGAGGUAUUAACAAUGCAUGAUUUGUAGACUAAUACAGUUUGAGUCACAUCAACUCCAUGUGUAUUAGUCAGUCACCAAAAUUUUGUCAACCAAAAAUAUUUGGCUGAAACAGCAAGAAAAUUAAUUUUCAGUUAAAGUGAUGUUUAUUUUGUGCUUCUGCGAUGGCACUUUUUUUCUUUCAGUGUCUAUUUUGUGCACAACAGGUAAACAUGUUUCUAGAGUAAGCAAUAUGUAAAAUUUGUUUGGUUGAAAUAUCAAAAAAGGUUGCUGAAGAACUUUAAUGCCUCGUUUAUGACCUGUAAACACAACACCCUGUACAGCAUACACAUUUUUUUAUCUAAUUACCCAAAUUUAAUUAAUUAGCCAAACUUCUGGUUUGGGUGUUUUGGUAAAAUGUCUGUGUAACUAAUGUGUGUAGCUUGGUAGCUCACCUGGUACAGCAUUGCACUUGUGAUGGAGCACACUUGGGUAUGAGUCCUGUAAAACGUGCUUUACUAGACGCAACAGACGAGCAAAAAGCCUUGUAGAGAGAAACUAAAAUAGCAUGCUUUCUACAGCAAAUGCCUUUUUUAUCUUAAAGGGGUCAUCGGAUGCUACAUGCACUUUUACAUGUUGUUUGAACAUAAAUGUGUUGGCAGUGUGUGUACACAACCACCCUGUAAUGAUAAAAAAUCCACCCAAUGUUGUUUGUUUUUUUUUUUUUAUCUACUAAAUCCUUUCCCUUUCUCAAUCAAGCCGUUCUCAGCUUCCUGUCUGUGUGACGUCACACUGACUCAGGCCCUCCCACGAUAGAUGAUUGACUGUAGCGUUUCAGCACAGAGUGGACAGGUGUCUUAUCUUAGAUUAUGGUUUGUUUUUGAAGGUAAAUGACCAACCCCCCCCAAAAAUCGGGCAUCCGAUCGACCCCUUUAAGUGUUUUCUGUUGUUCACUAAUUAUUAAUGGUUUAUUGAACGUUGCCAGAUUUAAAUUCAUUUGUUUCAGCAAAAGUCGAAUAUUUCGUUUCUUUUUCUUUUUCUUUUUUUACGGACACCACUUAACUUUACAUUUAACUUUAUAACUUCAGUAAAACAUGCAAGAACCUCAAACCAUCUCAGAGUCUUUAAAUUCAUCUGUUUUUAAGCACCACUGCGGCAGCCAUUAAAGCUCUUCUUUCAUAACAAAUUCGCCUCAUUCAACACUAAAUUUCAAGAUAAUUACUGAGGCAACCGAGGAACAAAUCGUCUGCUGUGAGCAAUGUUCCCGUUAUUAUAUAAUCCACAGGCCUCCGUUGUUUUGUUUUUUGGUUGAGAACUAUAUAGUUUUGUGCAGUGAAGGGUUAGGGAUAUUUAGCAUAUUUGUUUGCUGAAUAUUUUUGCUAUCUUUUUGCAUUCCACUCUUGCAUUGCUUCUGGUCCUUUUUUUUUUUAGUUUGGUAUAUGACUGUUGAUAUGAACACAUACAGACAAAUGUCCUUUGGCCAUUGUGUUCAUGCUGUUUUUCAGCGUGGUUGCAUUUUUAGGAUAGGGUGUCAAGUCAAAAAUGUAACUUUUUAAAAAAGUGUGCAGCUGUGUUUGAACACCAGAAUGUGGUGUGAAUGUGAAAACAGUGUUUGAUUUUGAACUUGUGGGCUCUAAUUAUUCAGAGCUUCCUUAAGACUGACUAAUCGACUGGACAAUCCAACAACCAGUCGAUUUAAAAAAAUAUGUCGUUUUGCACAUCUCUACUUUUCGUACACAACUGUGUGACUGUAACUCUAGCACUCUCCCUCCCCAUCAUUCUCAUUAGAUAUUGGGCAUUGGUUGCAUUCUUUCAUCACUCCAUUGCUGUUCUGUGGGGAACUGAUUGGAUCAGUGUCGAUUCAGCAUCAUUUGCCUGCUGAAUUGAAUGUUGAGAAUCCAGCUUGAUAAUUUGGCAGAAAUUGUGGCGUGAUGAACUUGGCUGUUUCAUUGGGCCUCUCAUUGUGAUGCCACACAGUGAACACAUGUAUAAUCAGAUGAUAAUUAAUGAUCAGGCUUGGUUAAUGUGGCAGCCUGGAAACACUGAUGCAGAUUCAGAUGUGUUCCAGGAGAGAGUCUUUGUAAGGGGCCAAGGUGUCACUGGUCCAUCCAGAAUGAUGAUUGGUCCUCAAAUUUGCACCAAUUAAACUAUCUAUCUAUCUAUCUAUCUAUCUAUCUAUCUAUCUAUCUACAGUAUCUAUCUAUCUAUCUAUCUAUCUAUCUAUCUAUCUAUCUAUCUAUCUAUCAUCAUGUGUACUAGACUGCAGUGUAGUACACUAAGGAAUGAGCAAGUGUAUGAUUUUUAUUGGAGGUCAUAUUUAUAAUAAGAAUUAUCAUUUUGUUCAUUCUUAGUGUAUGAUGAAUAUUUAUGCUUUAAUGCCGCUGUGUAGCAGCUGCACUACUGUGUGUGUGUGUGUCGCAUUUACAUCAGUUGAAAUGUCAGAACUGAACCUGCUCAUUACCGGGACAGCACUAUAUUAGUGUGUGUCAUGACCUGUGGGAUAUGCUUAUAUUAACAACGGAAGAGUGAAGUCAUUCACAUUUUGAGGAAAAUGGGUGAGCAAGAACAUAUCAGACAGUCGUGGUUAUUUUUGCAUUAUGACUUUCUCAUCUACAUACUUAUAAACAGACACAUCAGGCUUUCUGAGGACAUGUGGAUAUGUGUGUGGCCAAUAUAGACAGGAUGUUCAUAGAUGUUUAGAAGAAGGACAAGGGGGAGAUAAAGGACAUAAUAUAUGGUAUAGAGGACAGACCAACCUCUGAGGCUCUACCAUUAAGAAAGCAUAACAGUCAACUUGGAUCACUUGCCUUGAAUCACAUUAUUGCCUUGACGUCACUGAAUUGCUUUCUUAGUUUAAUGACAGUCAGUAGGUAUUUAAUUCUAAUGUGGAAAGAUGUCAGUAUACACAAUAUGUGUUACAAUAAGGAAGAAAAGACGAUCACAAUGUCAUACUGAGUAAGAGAGUGUAAAAGGCAACUUAAAAAAUUGAGGAAAUAAGCAUGGGCAAAUAAACCGGAAUAUAUCUGAAGAUACUAAUAAAUGGGGAAAAAAAUCUCUAAUGCUGGCCGAUAUUUUGCACCCCUAAUUAUGAUUCUCAUCUUGCCACAGAGAAUUAUCUAAAAAGUAUAUUUUCAUGGAAGUCAUUUGCAUCAAAAAAACAACUUAGUUGAAUGUUCUGGAAAUAUGUGUCCUACUAUUUGCUUAAAACAGCAUGCAUUUAAAAAAGUUUUAAUGAGGUGUUCCUAUAGCUCAA